CCCAUAGCUAAAGUAAUGCGAUUUGCAGAGACUUUGAGAAUGUAGCGUUAGCUGUGGACACCAAGGAAACUGCUCAGCGUUUGGAAUUCUCUGGCAUCUACACCAUUGUUAGCUCUCCAAAGGGAGGCUCAUGCCAUGUGAAAUUCAAAGCUGUUGAGAGCUCCACUUUUAAUAAGAUCUUUCAAAGGGAAUAGCUCAAGUGGGCCAUCAGAAUCAUAAUGUCAGAUGGAUUUCACGGUCUAGACAGAUCUGACGUUGCCUUCUAAGUUUUUUUUCUUUUCAGAUUUCCCCACAAACCAACAGUAAUAAAAAAAAGUUCUUCUGGGAAGGUAUUGAUUUAUUAAUAGAAGCUACUGGUUUUCUGCAUUGACGGCUCUAGGGACUUUCUCCGCGUGGUUGAUGACUGCCUUUCUCCAGCAAGGCUUCCAGAGCUCCCAGCAGUCAAUUUAUCAACAUAGGAUGACAACUUCAUUGUUGUUCUUUGAAAACUUUGGCUCUAAAGGACUUCUUGGGAUUUUAGCUUACGAAGAUGCCUUUGGGAGAGUAUUCUUGUAUGGAGUAGUAAAUCCGCUUGACAAAUGUUGGACCUUUUGAAACUCAAGACAGAAUCAACUCAUUGGUUCCCCUACCCGCCAAUUAUCCCUGAGGUGCUGUUUGGAGUCUGAUGCAUGCUCCCCCACACCCCGCCGCCGCCGCCGCCGCCGCCGCCGCCGUGCCUACCACAGACUCCCCUGAGGCCAGCCCACUCCUCAGAACCUGAGCUGAGGAUGACACUAGCAAUGCUAGACGCCAGGAAAAGUGGAGACUGGUAUCUCUGCUUCCGGACUGUUCAUCAUGUGGGCCCACCAACAGUGUGGACAUCCAUGCACAGAGGGAAGCUUCAGAAACAACAUCAUGACCCCAGGAGGAGGGCUCAGCAGUCUCUGUAUCUCUGUUGGUGACAAAAUGGGUCCAUCUGGCUGCUGAGCAUGGACCAGCAUGUGCUGAUUGAAAAUCCUAUGACAGUCUUCUGUUGGGAUGACCUCCUGUUCUGGGCCUUCUGCAAUUAGCCGAGCAGAACUGAGAUGUGCAAGAAAUGGAAAGAGAAUCAGAUGUUGAGUCAAAGCACUGUAAGGGAGCUAACAUUUUCUGAGUGCCUGCUCCAGGCAGGCACCAUGCUAUACACAACAGGAGAUCACGGUUUAUCCCUCUUCUCUGAUGAAGGAAGAACAUACAGGAUUUCCUCUGAUACGAGACAGACUCUGAGAAGGACCAGGGAGGAAGAAACAAGUUCAUUUUGGCUGGGGCAUUUAGAAAAGUUUCUUAGAGCUGAAUACAGAGGAUCCAGCAAGUACUUCUGAGGAAGCCAGAUAGUGACCCCAUAAAGUGAAAGGAGCCAGGAUGCCGGAGCAAAACAGGCAGCUGCUGGUGAAACGCCUGGUCAGCAGGAGUGAGCAUGAAUCACCUUGUUUUGCCACUAAUACGUGUUGUGGCGGUGUGGAUAAGACUGCAAAGGCAAGGCUGACAGAUCUCCGCAAUCCCCGAAAGCAAGUCACUCACUGGAAUGAAGGUUGGCAGUACAGAAUUGCAAUCUUUUUUCAAGCCUGUGAGAACCUUGAAAAUAUUCUAGUCUGAAUGCCUUUGCUUACUAUUAUAAAAACCACGACAUCCUCUUGCCUUCUGUAUCCAGGGCAUUUUGCCAAACAGGGUAAAUCAAGAGGAAGAACAGAUGACCAGAAGACGUACUGGGAGGAAAAUUACAAUGGAACGCACAUGUGCAAAGGAUGGUUUUAAAGUAUUAGGCUAUUAUCUUCUUGAAAGUAAAUCCAUAAGACCACACUUCAUACUAUCCUUUGUGCUAAAGACACUCUUCAUGUUUUAAGCCUAAUAAUCAGGGAAAGAAAAGAAUGGAAGGUUCUGACUAGUUAGGUGUGGCAUUUUCGGAAUACCAGUUAGUAUUAUACUUUGUGAGUACUGUCUUCAAUAUUUGUACUAAUAAUUUCUUGUUCUAGCCUCAAACUCAAUUCGACCAUAGUUCAUGUUCUAAUUUUUCUUAAUCCACUUAUUUUCUAAGUGAAAGUUAAAAAUACCGAUGUUGUCUUUAGAGGAGAAUAAAUUCAAUCACUCCUUAUGACACAUGUGACUUUAAUGAUUACUCUCGUUUAUUGUUUGCCCUAUACUAAGCACUUUACUGGCAUCAUCUCAAUCCACAAAUGACCCUGUGAGACUGUACAUUUUCCAUUGCACAAUGGAAGAAAAUAUGAUACGGAGAAGUUUAGUAAUUUUUCUAAUACCCCAUGCAUUUAAGUUUAAUUGUGAUGUGGGAAUUUAGAUCUGCCUGAUUCUAAGUCCAUGAUCUUGAUUACUUGUACCUUUUACUUGGACAAGUUAUUUAAUUAACCUGAGACUUAGUUUUGUUAUCUGAAUAAUGGGGAAAUUAUAUCUUUCAGUUUUGUUCUGAGAAGAAAAAUCAAUAAACUUUGGUCUGAAUGCUCAGGUCCCCUCAAAAUUCUUAUGUUGAAAUCUAACCUCAAAGUUGGUAGUGUUAUGAGGUGGGGCCACGGAGGGGGUCAACUGAUAUACAGGGCACUUUGGUCCUCAGAACCAAACCUGGUUUCAUGGACAGAUGACCCAUGCAUCUACACAGAGAUCCAUGCCUAAACGAGCCUUGUGACACUACUGUCUUGAAAUUCUCAAGAGUUUUUGAGCAAGGAGCCCCUAUUUUCGUUUUGUGCUUACUCCAGCAGUUGAAUCUUGUUGCAUAGUUCCUACACAUUGAAUAAUUUAAGAAACAAAUUCCUUUUCUUUUACUUUCACCAGCUAUACAUUGGAGUACGUAGCAAUAUGGUAUAUGAGUGAACUGUCAAACACUACACCCUUGGGCUCAGAAGAUGGGCUUACUCUUCAGCCUAAGUAAACCCUGAGCACUGGAUACUCCUUUCGUAACCAAGUAAUAGUUUAAGAUAUGUUCACAAUGAAGCAAGGGGGAUGGGAUUUGGAGCUCUAGAGUCCAUCAGACCCUGUGCACACUUCACCACUGCCUUUACUAGCCUAGCUAUUUGAUCAUCUUGCUGCAAGGCACAGUGGCACUAUUUUUGGCUGACCACAGUAGAAGGUGGUAGGUGGGGCAAUGAGUCACUGCCACAGGACAUUUCUAGCCUAAUCCACCCAGAUGACAUGGGGGUAGGAGGCUGGAUUUCCCUCCCGGGUGAUGGAGAUGUGUUCCUGGGAGAUGAAAGGAGGAAAAGAGUUGUGUUCAAUUGUCAGAGGACACAGAUUGGUAUGCUGACAGAACUGAUGCUAUAUUUGGGUAUGAACAAGGCUUAACAUGCCUGUGGCUGCUUUUGUUUCUCAUUUCUCCCCAACGCUGGCUUACUAAAAAUGACCCAAGUUACCUAUUCUAUUCAGCUUUCAUUAAGCAUAAAGGAAAACAACCCCUUUUCUGCUCUCUUAUUCCAGAGUCAGUGAAAUUGAUCAUGAAGUAGACGUGAGCAUUUAGAACCGACUCAUUCACCUGUACACACAUCUGUUCUUGUUCUCCUUCUGCAGGCACUUUCCAGGAAGGCUGGCCAGGUGGUGCUGCAGAAUUGGGUCAUCUUCUCGUUCAUCAAACUGUGGUUCCACAUCAGCUCUGUGAACAGACUAUGCAGAGGAGGCGACUCCGCUGGUGGUUUAAGAAUGCACAGAAGAUCAUGCACGUAAUGUGUGCUCCUUCUAUGUUUGAAUGAACGAAUGAGUGAAUGAAUAUUGAUGGAACUAAAAUAGCCACUGGACCAAAGUGUUCUGUGAAACGCUUCUCCUUAAACUCCUAUGGAGAUUUUGUAAUGGUGUAUGGCAUUCCUCUAGGAUUCACCCUCCUGAUUUACCUAUAGAAGAAUACUACCAAGCGAUGCAGCUAAGAUCCUUGGAACAAGUUUGCAUUUUCACGUCUUGCUUGUAGACUUUGUUAGCCUAGAUGCAGGGAGCCUUUAGCCUAGAGCCAGUUAUGCCCACAGUGGAGGGGGCAAUUGCCUUUGAACAGUCUUUCCUAUACCGCAGGUACCGCGAGGCCAUUCAGCUCACACCUUUCUCACACCGCCCUGCACACUCCUGACACCGAGCCUCUCAAAAGUCUCACGCUCCUCUCUCCAACCACUGGCUCCACCUGGAGUCUCUCCUCCUGGGAUGUAGUCUGGAAUCUCCUUCAGGCAAAAAGGGCACUCAGAGAUCCUCUGAGAGUCCAGAACCCUGGACCAGGCCGCCUGCUGUCCAAUGUUGGAAACUAUUGUUUCAUAUUCUUUCUGAUUACUUUAGUUGUUUGAUGUGGAAAUAGAAAUCUGGUCAUAGUUACUCCAUCUUGACUGAAAGAGGAAGUCAGUGCAUAAAAAUUUAUGUAAAAGACCAUUCAUCAAAGCAUUACUGUUUAUGAGGAGUAAUUGGAAAUAGCAAAAAGCAUGACGAAAAAGGGAGACAGGAGAUGGUGUAAUACACUGUGGCGUCCGUGUAAUGUGAUAUUUUACAGCCAUUAAGAAUUAUGUUUUCAAAGAGUAUUUACUGAUGGGGGGUAUAGUUAUGACAUUAAGUUUAAUAAAAAACAGUAUAUGGAAAUCUAAUUUUAUGAUUUCAAUUUUGCAAAAAUGUACAUAAAGACACUGUAAUAGAUGAGUAAAUAUACUUGAUAUAAUUUAUAUUUCUUUGUUAACACAUAAUGAAUAUAUAUUAAUGCCAAUUUACAAGUUGAAUGAGAUAAAAUAGCAUAAAUAUAUAA